CAUCAAGCAGAGAAUCUGUGCAAAGGCUCAUGAGAGCCCGAAGUGUCCAUCAGUUGUACCCUUCAAAAUCCUUCAAUCUGAAGGGCCCUUUGAAGUGGCCAGUUUUGAGCACUUCGGUUUGGAACUACCCUUCAAUAUGGUGGCCAUGAUUGUUUUCACUCCAAAGUGCGAUAUAUCCCAAUUGGAACGCACCGUAAAUCUUCCUCUUAACACUGUGAGAGGGCGAUUCACUGGCUAACACUGUAUAGGUGGAGCUCAGUGAAAAAUAACAAUAAUGUUAAUUUAUACUGUAUGUUUGUUAUCUUACAGGAAGCAUCACACCUGAGGGAUUCUUCGUUUCACUGUGUGACUAUUUUGAGGUCCGGGACAAACUCUCCUUAUUGCAAAAAGAGAACCUCAAAUACAGAUAUCUGACGGUCUGUACAUGCAUGAUCUCUACCUGCAUUGAAAAGCCCUGUCAACCCAGCACCAAAAAUGAGUGUAUACUGUCAGACUGGUCAUCCUUAUGGCAAUUUGAGGAUGGAGAAUCAGUUCACGAGUCUGCCUGCAUCAGACACAGCGAUGGCUCCUGCGGCUGGUAUGAAGGAACUGGCAAACCUUCUGAAAAUGACACCAUGGACAUGUCUGAAGUCUGAUGGCUGAGCGCAGGAGUGGUUUCUCACUGUAAAAGAAGCUGCUUGAUGCUGUCCAAGAAGAUCAGACUGUUCAGAUGUAAACACAUGCAAACCCGUUAACCUGCUGUACUUUCUUGUAGCCACAUAGAGCACCUUAACCACUAUUGCUUAUCGACCACACAGAUCACUCUAUUAACUGCCUAGUGAGCACCUAACUUAAGCAACAACCUAACAACCACUCAGUACACCUUAGAAACCACUUAGCAUUCCUCAAACAACCAUCAAGGCCAUACUCUUCAAACUUGCAUAUACAAUUAAUGGUCCAACUCAAAGAUGUUGCCAUGAGUCGGUUGUGCACCUUUGAAAUGUGUGCUUUUAUUACCAAAUUAACGAUGUGGUCAUUUAGCUUUGCCUGGCUAAAGAGCAAUUUACAUUAGAAAUAGCAGUGCUGGAUUAUUAGCAUGUCAUAUUUACUGUAUGCUACAAUAUGAUGACAUAUGCUUUACAUUGGGUCCAAAUCAUUAGAUUUUUCUAUUUUAAAAGGAAUAAAUAGAAAUGAAAAAACUAAUUCAGUUUUUUUUUUGUUAAAAAUUUAUAUUAUAUAUAUAUAUAUAUAUAUAUAUAUAUAUAUAUAUAUAUAUAUAUAUAUAUAUAUAAAGGGUUUAUGGCUUAAUAUGGCAUAGUUAAAUGGUUUAUUCACAAGUAUCUUCUACACAGACACAAAUUAGAAGGAGUGUUCAAUGGGCCUUUUUCACAUUUAUUGUCAUGCUCAUGCUUUUAAAUGUGUGCACGAAAACGAAGAAAUAAUCCACAAUGGUCUUUUAAUAAGUAAUCCACAAGGAACACAAGAGAAUCACUAGAACCAGUGCAGCACAAAACGUAGACACAAACAAUAACUGGCACCAACUGAACAGAAGAGGGAGAACAGAAACAAAUGCAGGCAAGGGACUAAUGACUUAAUUAAUAGAACACAGGUGAAAUUAAGAAUUAAUUAAACACAAAGGGAAAACUAGGUCAAAUGACAAAGACAUAACUAAGGCCCCGUCCACACGGAGAUGCGUUUAGCUGUAUAUGUAAAGAUUUUGUAUCCUAUCUGCGUUUUGUUCAGACGUAUCCAGAGUUUUGGGAGCGUGAAAUCUGGUGAUGGCGAGAUGAAGCCUCAUUAAGCAUUAAAGCUUUUUAGACAAGUGGUUUACAAAAGGAUUAAUUUCUCCAGGCUUCAUAUGCUCACAAUACUACCUGGUGGCCAAAGAGUGUAAAACAAGCAGAUACAUUACAGUUGACCUGGUGUGGUCUGUGAUACACUGUAUUUUGCGCCAGUUAAAGAGGUCAUAUGAUGAUGUUAAAAAGAACAUUAUUUUGUGUAUUUGGUGUAAUAAAAUGUGUUUAUGC